rnacentral:lncRNA from 1 species
UGUGCUGGGCCUGGCUCGCGGCGAACCGAGAUGGCAGAGCAGUCGGACGAGGCCGUGAAGUACUACACCCUAGAGGAGAUUCAGAAGCACAACCACAGCAAGAGCACCUGGCUGAUCCUGCACCACAAGGUGUACGAUUUGACCAAAUUUCUGGAAGAGCAUCCUGGUGGGGAAGAAGUUUUAAGGGAACAAGCUGGAGGUGACGCUACUGAGAACUUUGAGGAUGUCGGGCACUCUACAGAUGCCAGGGAAAUGUCCAAAACAUUCAUCAUUGGGGAGCUCCAUCCAGUAAACCAAAGUUAAACAAGCCUCCGGAAACUCUUAUCACUACUAUUGAUUCUAGUUCCAGUUGGUGGACCAACUGGGUGAUCCCUGCCAUCUCUGCAGUGGCCGUCGCCUUGAUGUAUCGCCUAUACAUGGCAGAGGACUGAACACCUCCUCAGAAGUCAGCGCAGGAAGAGCCUGCUUUGGACACGGGAGAAAAGAAGCCAUUGCUAACUACUUCAACUGACAGAAACCUUCACUUGAAAACAAUGAUUUUAAUAUAUCUCUUUCUUUUUCUUCCGACAUUAGAAACAAAACAAAAAGAACUGUCCUUUCUGCGCUCAAAUUUUUCGAGUGUGCCUUUUUAUUCAUCUACUUUAUUUUGAUGUUUCCUUAAUGUGUAAUUUACUUAUUAUAAGCAUGAUCUUUUAAAAAUAUAUUUGGCUUUUAAAGU